CCUACGGGAGGCAGCAGUGGGGAAUUUUGGACAAUGGGCGCAAGCCUGAUCCAGCCAUGCCGCGUGAGUGAAGAAGGCCUUCGGGUUGUAAAGCUCUUUCGGUAGGAACGAAAUGGUUCGUGCUAAUACCACGGACUGAUGACGGUACCUGAAGAAGAAGCACCGGCUAACUACGUGCCAGCAGCCGCGGUAAUACGUAGGGUGCAGGCGUUAAUCGGAAUUACUGGGCGUAAAGCGUGCGCAGGCGGUUUCUUAAGUCAGAUGUGAAAGCCCCGGGCUUAACCUGGGAACUGCGUUUGAAACUGGGAGACUAGAGUGUGGCAGAGGGGGGUGGAAUUCCACGUGUAGCAGUGAAAUGCGUAGAUAUGUGGAGGAACACCGAUGGCGAAGGCAGCCCCCUGGGUUAACACUGACGCUCAUGCACGAAAGCGUGGGGAGCAAACAGGAUUAGAUACCCUGGUAGUCCACGCCCUAAACUAUGUCAACUGGUUGUCGGGGGAUUAACUCCCUUGGUAACGAAGCUAACGCGUGAAGUUGACCGCCUGGGGAGACGGCGCGAGUAAACGUACUAAUAGAGUUGAGNGUUGAGAGNGCGAGCGACGACGAGGAGGAGG
rnacentral:rRNA from 1 species